CUUGUACAUCAUCAUCGCACCAACUAAGUUUCAACUAAAGGAAGCAGUAUUUCCUUUUCUUAUCCAUAUCAUCCAGAUAACAAGUAUUAUCGCAUUGUACCGUUAACCUGCAAAAGUUUAUUUUUGCAAUAUUGAGCUCGACAACUCAAUAAAUCUAACAAUUUUCAUGCAUCAUAUAGCACAUACUUUCAUGCUCAACAUAUAUCUCAAUUUAAAACAGUUAUAAGAUUUCCUACUCAGCAUAUAUCUCAAUUUAAAAUGAAUAUAAAUUUCACAUGCUCAACAUAUCGCAUAUCACAUAUUGAGUUCCAUAACUCAAUCAAAUAUAGUCAUAAUUUGACUUUCGAAAUUCACACACACCUCUUAUGUAAUAUCACAUGCUCAUAGUAGUAUAGUUUAUAAACUAUCCAUAUCCAAUUCAUUUGCAAAUAGGAACUGGAAGACUUGCCUUUGUUUGCGUAAAUUGAUAUACGCUCAUCGAGCAUCAUUCGCAUAACCUCAUUCAAUCUCCACAUCGGGUUAUAACAUGUUCCAUAAUCUCAUUUGAGACUUAAUAGAUAGCUAAAUAGAUUUAUAAAUCUUAACUUGCACUAUGUGUUAUAUUAAAAAUCCCACAUAUUAAUUUCAUACUUUCAUAACCUUAACUUCAUACUUCUUAUUUGGUGCCUUACAAAUUUCAUGUCCACCUCAAGUUUUUGUUAUUUAACACCCAAUAUAUUUUACAGACAUACUUCUUGUUCCAAUGACCUUUUCCUCUAUAUAUUCUGAUUUAUAAUACUCAUUUCUUUUUGGGUUAGUCUACCAGAGUAUAUGUUUCUCUAAGAUGAUACUCCCUCCGUUCCUAAAAGAUUGUCGUUUAAGGUUUUGACACAUGGAUUAAAGAAAUGUCAUUUACCAAGUAAAAUUUGUUUGAAAUUCCAUCACUACCCCUUUAUGGGAAAUUGAAAACUAUUAAUACAAGGGAGAGAAUUUCUUGGGACAAUAAGAGAAAAUAGGGAUAAUAUAGGAAAGUAAAUAAUUUAUUCGCCUCGAAAGUUGUAAACGACAAACUUUUUGGAACAAAUUUUUUCUCCUAAAACAACAAUCUUUUAGGAACGGAGGGAGUAAUAAACGAAAACAGGAGAGGCGUAAGUCUUACAAGGCAACUCCUCACAAGUGUGCAAAAUCCACUAACUGAACAAUCUGCCUAACAAAUGUAACCUCUCAAUUUUAUUGAUUUCAACAUUCCCAACUUUUAGCCACUUCCUCACGCUAACCCCAUCAAGACAUGAUUCAAGAUCUCCUCUAUCAGAUCAUUUCUCUAAUUUGGCACUUAAUCUCAAUGGUGCAUCAAAUGAUACCUUGAACCUUACUACAAUUUGGUUUUUUUUUACUAUACAUAUUUAGUGAUUUACCUAUAUUAAAUUCCUAAAAAGCCAUCAGACCUCAAACCUUUAAAGAACCAAGAGCUUCUAGUACAAGAAAUUUGUGUAAGCUUGUUAUAGGUCAUUUACUAAACUGUGUUACUUCUUAGAGCUUUUGGACACUAAAGGAAGGAGUUCAUUUUAUUGGCUUCUAGUUUUACCCAUACUUAAAUGGGUCCAAAUUUCACAAUCAAAUAAAGUUUCAGUUUUUUUUUUCCAGCAUAAGAGCAUUACUACGAAUAUAACAAGUUUAAGGUAAAUCAGUUAGCAAAUUGUCCAAAUAAAAAAAUAAUUUAUUUCAUAACACAACCAUAUGCAAAUUUAUUUAUAAUAUAUUUCAACUCAUGAAUUUAUUUCAUGAAUAUUUAAACCAAAUUCCUCAUUUAGGCAUUCUCACAAAUACCUUACAUGCAUUGUUUAAAAACUUAGUUUUCAUACUAAUUUAAACAAACUUAUCAUCCAAGUUCACACUCAAUUCCAUCCUUAUUACCCCAGAAUACUUCUAAUUAUUUCAUCACAUAACUUCCCACAACAAUCACAUCAAUAAUCACAUAUAUUAUCUACUUUAAUUUUUACAAUUUAACAUAUAAAUGUUAAUUACCUCUUACUUGAUAUAAGGUUGCUUUGGAAUGGAUUUGAAUCCUUUCCUCGAUAAUAUCUUGCUCAAAUUCUUCUUCAAUUCGGUUAAUAGCUUCUGUUCUUAGAGAAAUUGGUGGGGUUUUAGUAGGAAUUAUGGAGCCUAGAUGUUGGUAAUUUGAGAAUUGAAAAUUUUUGGGCAUGGGUCUUGUUAUGGAACGGAUGAAAAAGAAGAAUGAGAGAGCUGAAGAUUAACUUAUGUCUCCUUAGCUCUCUUUAUUCCAUCAUAUGCAUGUUUAGUAUCUUGGUAUUAGCCUAAUCAAAGGCCACCUCCUGCUUAGCUUAAAAAUGACUCAUCACAUAUGCAUUCAAAUUUUUUUAUUCUCAACAUUGUUUUGCAUAUUACAUCUCACAUAUUUUAGCUUUUAAUUUGCAGCACUUUCCACUAUCAAUU
rnacentral:lncRNA from 1 species